rnacentral:lncRNA from 1 species
CAUAUUUUUCUUUUAUUUCCUUUAUGGAAAUCUAAUCUUCCCCCUUUUUCCUGUGUUUCUUUUAUAGCCUUCAUAGGUUUCCUUCAAGAAGAGAAAUACAGCACAGUGCCUGGUCCAGUGGCUUGAUUUGAUGUUUCUACCUGGAACAUGUGGUGUGUUCUCAGUGCCUGUGUCUGAGUCAUAUCAUUGAUCUUUCAUUUAUUUUCUCUGAUCCUCACCAUCUAUCUCCAUCAAGAGCAAAGGAGGAAAGAUCAAAGAAGGUUAAUAUUAGCGUGCAUGCUAUGUGCUAAUCGAAAUUAAGUUGCUUUCACAAACCUUUUCCCCCUGAUCCAUUGCACAAAUGCCUUAACAUAAAGCUAGACAUCUGUCGAGUAUGGAUGUCCUCUGAAAUGGGUGAUACAUGAUUAAAAAACCGUUCAGGUUGCUUCUUUGAAAGAAGCAG